AAAAGGGGUUUCUGACCUGAGGGCACACAUAGGGCAACUAACUUGCUCUUUGUAUAGAAUCAACAUCAAGAGUUUCGGAGCAUAAUUUAUUGACAGUAGGGCAGCUGUUGGUCCUGGAGGUCCUCACACAA